rnacentral:lncRNA from 1 species
AAACAACUACGAUACAGGACUAUGAACUGUUAAAAGAUGAACUGAGGCAUAUUAAAAUUUUAAGAGUUUCUUUGAACACAAAUCCAUUCAAAAUCAAGGAGCACCAACCCAGAAGCGGCUAGAAGCGCUCCACUGGCGAAAAAUGUUUACAGAGGAAAAGCAGAAGCAAAAUUUCUAAACACAGUGGAAGCCAUGAGAGAGAAUAUCUGAAGCAAUUCAUUAAAAUCUUGGCAGCGGGGCCCACAGCUCUGCUCCCUCUGAAAGCUGCCUUCACUGAAGCUGAAGCGUUCCCAGCAGCUCCCUCCACAGAAGACCUAUUGUCAGCACCUCUGGAGGGGCAGUCCCUGGAGAAGCUGCGUCAGUCAAUCAAGGGUCUUGAAUAAAU